rnacentral:rRNA from 14 species
CGAAUGACUCUCGGCAAUGGAUAUCUCGGCUCUUGCAUCGAUGAAGAACGUAGUGAAAUGCGAUACUUGGUGUGAAUUGCAGAAUCUCGUGAACCAUUGAGUCUUUGAACGCAAGUUGUGCCCGAGGCUUUGUGGCCGAGGGCACGCCUGCUUGGGCGUCAUGG